GACGAACGCUGGCGGCGUGCUUAACACAUGCAAGUCGUACGGUAAGGCCCUUUCGGGGGUACACGAGUGGCGAACGGGUGAGUAACACGUGAGUAACCUGCCCACAACUUUGGGAUAACGCUAGGAAACUGGUGCUAAUACUGGAUAUGUGCUCCUGCUGCAUGGUGGGGGUUGGAAAGCUCCGGCGGUUGUGGAUGGACUCGCGGCCUAUCAGCUUGUUGGUGGGGUAGUGGCCUACCAAGGCGGCGACGGGUAGCCGGCCUGAGAGGGUGACCGGCCACAUUGGGACUGAGAUACGGCCCAGACGCCUACGGGAGGCAGCAGUGGGGAAUAUUGAACAAUGGGCGCAAGCCUGAUGCAGCAACGCCGCGGGCGGGAGGACGGCCUUCGGGUUGUAAACCGCUUUCAGCAGGGACGAAGCUUUUUGUGACGGUACCUGCAGAAGAAGCACCGGCUAACUACGUG
rnacentral:rRNA from 1 species